UACGUAGGGUGCUAGCGUUGUUCGGAAUCAUUGGGCGUAAAGCGCGUGUAGGUUGUUAGGUAAGUCUUGUGUGAAAUCCCUGGGCUCAACCGAGGAAGUGCAUGGGAAACUACCUAGCUAGAAGAUGGUAGAGGAAGGUGGAAUUCCUAGUGUAGAGGUGAAAUUCGUAGAUAUUAGGAGGAAUACCGGUGGCGAAGGCGGACUUCUGGACCAUUCUUGACACUGAGACGCGAAAGCGUGGGUAGCAAACAGG
rnacentral:rRNA from 1 species